GCGUGGGGGAUUGGUAACACCAACCGGGAGUAAAAGUCACCCUAUGAAGCUCUCGGAGGCUUUAUUCUGGGUUUGUAACACCAACCGGGACUAAAGUAUCAUCCUGGUUGAUGUUACCAUUCGGGACUAAAGGUAUCUCCACAGACAAGCUUUUUAUUGAGGAUCACACCAACCGGGACUAAAGCUUAUUUAGUCCCGGGUGCAAAAACAACCAAGAUUUUUGUGGAGGAUGGAAGGUUAUUUUUCUAGUAGUGAGUUUUAGCUUUGAUGGCAUCUCGCAGCACCAUAAACAACACAUAAACACAAAAGAGGGACAUGUCCACAGUUGAGGCUCGAAGCAUAUCCUGGUUCUGGUUGAGAUUUGUUCAAAGAAAAAUUGCCAAUUGUAUUUGGUUCAAUGUUCACUAUAGGUCAUUUUCAAGUACUACAUGCAGUGACCAUCUUAAUAGGAACCGGUGUGAAAGGCAGUACAGGACCAUGACUCG
rnacentral:lncRNA from 1 species